rnacentral:rRNA from 1 species
UGUGCCCUACGGGACGCAGCAGUAGGGAAUUUUCGUCAAUGGGCGCAAGCCUGAACGAGCAAUGCCGCGUGAACGAGGAAGGUCUUCGGAUCGUAAAGUUCUGUUGAAGGGGAAAAACAGCGGAGACAGGAACCGUGCUACUCUUUACCCUCCCCUUCUCUUCCCUCACGGCUAACUACGUGCCAGCAGCCGCGGUAAUACGUAGGUGGCGAGCGUUAUCCGGAAUGAUUGGGCGUAAAGGGUGCGUAGGCGGCCUGCUAAGUCUGGAGUGAAAGAUACCGGCUCAACCGGUACAGGCUCUGGAA